UACGUAGGGGGCGGGCGUUGUCCGGAUUUAUUGGGCGUAAAGAGCGUGUAGGCGGCCGAGCAGGUCCGUUGUGAAAACUGAAGGCUCAACCUUCAGAGGUCGAUGGAAACCGUUCGGCUAGCGUCCGGAAGAGGAGAGUGGAAUUCCUGGUGUAGCGGUGAAAUGCGCAGAUAUCAGGAAGAACACCCGUGGCGAAAGCGGCUCUCGGGGACGGUACUGACGCUGAGACGCGAAAGCGUGGGGAGCGAACAGG
rnacentral:rRNA from 1 species